rnacentral:rRNA from 1 species
AGGGCAGACGGUGGAUGCCUUGGCUCUCGGAGGCGAUGAAGGACGUGAUAAGCUGCGAUAAGCUUGGGGUAGGUGCAAAUAACCUUUGAUCCCAAGAUUUCCGAAUGGGGCAACCCGGCUGGUAGAAGGCCAGUCAUUCCGUAAGGAAGGCGAACGUGGGGAACUGAAACAUCUAAGUACCCAUAGGAGAAGAAAACAAAAGUGAUUCCGCAAGUAGUGGCGAGCGAACGCGGAACAGCCCAAACCGAUGAUGUUUAGGCAUUGUCGGGGUAGUAGGACCACGUUGUGGCAAGAGAUUAAUGAAGUAGAACGUUUUGGAACAAACGGCCGUAGACGGUGAAAGCCCGGUAUACGACUCUUUAACGAAGCCUAGUGGAAUCCUGAGUAGCGCGGAGCACGAGAAAUUCUGUGUGAAUCAGCGGGGCCCAUCCCGUAAGGCUAAAUACUCCCGAGAGACCGAUAGCGAACCAGUACUGUGAAGGAAAGGUGAAAAGCACCUCGAACAGAGGAGUGAAAUAGUCCCUGAAACCGUCUGCCUACAAGCGGUCGGAGCAACGUAAGUUGUGACGGCGUGCCUUUUGCAUAAUGAACCUACGAGUUACUUUCUCCGGCAAGGUUAAGGGCUUCAGGCCCGGAGCCGAAGCGAAAGCGAGUCUUAAUAGGGCGUGAUAGUCGGAGUGAGUAGACGCGAAACCAAGUGAUCUACCCUUGGUCAGGAUGAAGGUUGGGUAACACCAACUGGAGGUCCGAAUGGGUAUACGUUGAAAAGUGUUCCAAUGAACUGAGGGUAGGGGUGAAAGGCUAAUCAAACUUGGAGAUAGCUCGUACUCCCCGAAAUGCAUUUAGGUGCAGCCUUUAUUUAGUAUAGCAUGAGGUAGAGCGACUGAUUGGAUGCGAGGGCUUCACCGCCUAUCAAGUCCAGAUAAACUCCGAAUGCGUGCUAUAUAUUGAUAAGGAGUGAGGGCGCGGGUGCUAAGGUCCGCGUCCGAGAGGAGAAGAAUCCAGACCAUCAGCUAAGGUCCCCAAAUAACAGUUAAGUUGAACUAACGAAGUCGGACUGCAGAGACAGCUAGGAUGUUGGCUUGGAAGCAGCCAUUCAUUUAAAGAGUGCGUAACAGCUCACUAGUCGAGGAGUCCGGCGUGGAUAAUACUCGGGCAUAAACUGUUUACCGAAGCUAUGGAUGUAGAAAUACAUGGUAGGGGAGCAUUCCAACGGCGUCGAAGGUGAAGGAUGACCUUUGCUGGAGCUUUUGGAAACGCAAAUGUAGGUAUAAGUAACGAUAAAGGAGGUGAGAAACCUCCUCGCCGAAAGACUAAGGUUUCCUGAUCAACGUUAAUCGGAUCAGGGUAAGUCGGGACCUAAGGUUAAGCCGAACGGCGAUACCGAUGGAAGAAUGGUUUAAUAUUCCCAUACUACUUUAUGGAGCGAUGUGGAGACGGAGAAGUGAAAGUCCUGCCAUCUGACGGAAUAGGUGGUUGAAGAGUGUAGAUGUAGAUUCCUGUAGGCAAAUCCGCAGGGAGAGUCGACCUUGAUAGUAUGCCGCGUGCUUGCACAAGGCAAAAUGGACGUAAUCAGGCUCCCAAGAAAAUCCGCUAAGCAUAUUCAUAAAGUACCCGUACCGUAAACGGACACACGUAGUUGGGUUGAAAAUACUGAGGCGCUCGAGUGAUUCACGGUUAAGGAACUAGGCAAAUUGACCCUGUAACUUCGGGAUAAAGGGUCCCUACUGAGAGGUAGGGCGCAGAGAAUAGGUCCAGGCAACUGUUUAACAAAAACACAUGGCUGUGCGAAAUAGAAAUAUGAAGUAUACAGCCUGACACCUGCCCGGUGCUGGAAGGUUAAGAGGAGAGCUCAUCGCAAGAGAAGGCUUGAAUUGAAGCCCCAGUAAACGGCGGCCGUAACUAUAACGGUCCUAAGGUAGCGAAAUUCCUUGUCGGGUAAGUUCCGACCUGCACGAAUGGUGUAAUGAUCCGGACGCUGUCUCAACCGUGAGCCCAGUGAAAUUGUAGUAUCGGUGAAGAUGCCGAUUACCCGCGAUGGGACGAAAAGACCCCGUGAACCUUUACUAUAGCUUUACAUUGAAUUUGGGCAGACGAUGUGUAGGAUAGGCCGGAGGCUUUGAAGGGGGUACGCCAGUAUCCUUGGAGCCGCCGUUGAAAUACGGCCCUUCGGUUGUUUGAGUUCUAACUCCUAGGCAGGAGGACACUGUAUGGUGGGUAGUUUGACUGGGGUGGUCGCCUCCAAAAGCGUAACGGAGGCUUCUAAAGGUGCCCUCAGACCGAUUGGUAACCGGUCGCAGGAAGUCUGAUAGACGAUUCGGAUAUCAUUGUAUCCAAUCCCAGUGCCGGAAAACUAGAGAAACUGAAAAAAGAAUUUCCGGGUAUCUCCACCACCAACAAUAAUCUGGAAGCAGCCACAGGAGCAGACAUUGUCAUCCUUGCCGUCAAACCGUGGUUUAUGGAAUCGGUGAUGCGCGAGUUGAAAUUAAAAAGCAAACAGAUACUCAUCUCCGUAGCUGCCGGCAUCAGUUUUGAAGAACUGGCUCAUUAUGUCGUAGCACCGGAAAUGGCCAUGUUCCGCCUGAUUCCGAACACCGCUAUCAGCGAACUGGAAAGUAUGACGCUUGUUGCCGCCCGCAAUACGAACGAUGAACAAGACAAAUUCAUCCUCCGGUUGUUCAGCGAGAUGGGAACCGUGAUGCUUAUUCCCGAAGAUAAAAUAGCGGCAGCCACUGCAUUGACCUCCUGCGGUAUCGCUUACGUAUUGA